rnacentral:tRNA from 1 species
UGUGGCUUAGUGNCAGAGUGCUUGCCUUGCAUGUAUGAGACACUGGGUUCAAGACCCAGCA